AUCCUACGGGGGGCAGCAGUGGGGAAUAUUGCGCAAUGGGCGAAAGCCUGACGCAGCGACGCCGCGUGAGGGAUGAAGGUCUUCGGAUCGUAAACCUCUGUCAGCAGGGAAGAACGGUCACUGUGCUAAUCAGCAGUGAAUUGACGGUACCUGACUAAGAAGCCCCGGCUAACUACGUGCCAGCAGCCGCGGUAAUACGUAGGGGGCAAGCGUUAUCCGGAUUUACUGGGUGUAAAGGGAGCGUAGACGGCUGUGCAAGUCUGGAGUGAAAGGCAUGGGCUCAACCUGUGGACUGCUUUGGAAAC
rnacentral:rRNA from 1 species